AGUGAGGUGUAGUGGUUUCAGCACUGGAGUAUGGCUCAAGAGACCAGGGUUCAAAUCCCUGCUCCACCA